CUCAAUAGGCUGCUCCUUCAGCCUCACCACAGUAGCAGCUGCUAAUGCCGCCGAUAUUGCCGAAGAAACAAUCGAAAGGCCUCUCUAUUUUCUCUCUAUUUUGUCAAAGGGAGAUCGGGUUGGUGAGGAUAGAAACAUGAAAAAGAGGGAGAUAAGGUUGGGAGGAAAUCAGAAGAAUAGGGUAAUCAGAGGGAGAUAAGGUUGGGAAAAAGGUUGAAAUGCUUUAGACGUGAAAAAGGUAAUCAGAGAAAAUUUUUCCCGUUGAAUCCCUAAACCCAAGCCAGACCACGGAAUUGUAAACGUUGAAUUAGCC
rnacentral:lncRNA from 1 species